UGCAGCUCCCUACGACCCGACCGGGCCUUCCCUUGAUUGUCCGGGACCGGGAUCCGUCCCUGGGGAUUGUCCCUCAGGGCGGCGGGACAUCGUGGGCGGGAGCGCGCUGGGGCCAUGCUCGCGCCCCAGGCAGGCGAUUUGUGACUGGCUUUUAGACGUUCCCACGACGGGUCCCCCCUCGCCUUUCUCCGAGUGCCCGCUCUGCAAACACCUCUCUAUCCGUGGGCCGGGUGAGAGCAGGCUCGCUCAGGCGGCUUUUGGGGAGAAGCCGAAGUGAGUCCAUCAGCUUCUCAUAACUACCAAAAAGAUGAGGAUGUGGUGCUUUAUGGUUUCAGCAGAACGUAAGCAAGUUAAGGGAGGUAACUAUGGCCUCUGGUAACCACUGCUGUCCUUUCUUUCUCAUUUUGUCGUGUCCUUAGCUGUGGGUGACUCCACAUGAUGAACCCCUAUGUUGUUUACUUCUUCAUAGCAGGCUGGGACCAAAGGGUCCCAAAGCCCAAAGCCCACUGGUGUCAAACCCAAAUUCUCAUACAUCCAGUUGUUUUAAAUAGUCCAAAAAACAUAUUUCCAAAGCCAUUUGGAGCCUACCUACUUUACAUACUCCACAAACCUUCACCCAUCAUCUACCAAGCACAGAUAAGUCAAACACUGGAGCUACAAAAGACCCCAGACUGCUGCUACCCUUUGGAACUGCCUGACCCAGAGAUUCCCCACUAAGCCGCUAAGAGACAUGAAACCGUUUCUUCUCUCAUUGUCCCUUCUUCUCUGGAAAUUUCCUUGCCCCAUUCCCCAUGUGGGUGGUGGCCCCCAUACCUCUGUCUCUGGAAGGUCUCUGGCUGGGAGGGAUUUCCCCUCUCACAUAACCCUGUCCUCGUGCUGCCCAAAUAAGGUUUGUGUGCUACUCCCUCUCAUUGUCCUGUGUCUUCCUUGAUCACCAACCGCCACCCUCCCCCCCCCCCCGCCAAAAUCCCUCUGCUCACCAAGCAUCCUUAUAUAAGGAAGAGGCAGGAGGGGUGGAGUUAGUAAUGGGAGAUAUUACCAUGGAAGCAGUAGCUGGAGUGAUGCCAGGAAGGGGUCAUGAACCAAAGAAUGCAGGUGGCCUCUGGAAACUGAAAAAGGCAAGGAAAUGGAUUCUUGCCUGAAGCCUCUGGAAGGAAUGCAGCCCAUUAACAACUUGAGUUUAGAUUUCUGAACUCCAGAAGGCUAGGAGAAAAAAAAAAUUCUUUUGUUUCAAGCCACUGGGUUUGUGCUCAUUUGUUACAGCAGCAAUAGUAAACUAACGUAACUUGUAUAUGCACAAAUCUAUAAAUAUUCCUGUAUCUAUCCAUUUGUGUCUAUUAGAGUAAAUAUGACUUUAGUCCAUUGCCACAUGGGUCAUCCUAGCCUUUCCUUCUUGCUUAACUGUAAAUUUCCUCACCAGCAGUGGCUCCCACCAUCCAGCCUCCGUAAACUAUACCUGUACGGCCAUUUCUGAAAUGUUCAUCUAUACCCCCAUGAGAAUGUACCACGCUGAGGACAGUGCUUUGUCUUUAGCCAGUCUGCCGACUUUUAUUUUUUAUUCAUCCCCCACCUUUUACAUUUUGAAACAUUUUAAACACAGGGAGAAUUUGCUUUCUGCUUGGCAACCUUAGUGCUGUGAAUGCCGCCUCUCUCUCUGCUCCACCCGUUCCCUCUGGAUUUCAGUCCCCUUCCCCUGAGGAGCUCCCCAGCAGGGGCACUGCAGGGGUGUAGACCUGCUUGACCCACAUCCCUACCCCGUUGCCUCACUCUGCCACCCAAGCCCGCGGCUUUCCCAGUUCUGCCUGACUCCUCUCCUGGUGGCGUUGUGGCUCCCGUCACUUCCCUCCUCAACCUCCAGGCUCUCCCAGGAGGUUGUCCCCAGGUACACACACCUAUAUAAGUGUAUGCAAUGGUACUGGAGAGAAAAGGCUACGUGUUGAGAGACUUGGAAAGGAAGGGGAGAGUAUCAGGAUAGGAAACAUGAACAGGACAGACAUUCAAGACAGGUUGGAAACCCUAGAGCAGAAUGGCACCUGGCCCCAAAUUCUACCUGGAGCUCUGGGAGGGAGACACCCUCUCAGUGCCCCACACCAACAGAAGGAGGCAAGAGGAGGCCAGAAAUGCCAGCCUGGCACUUAGGCGAGGCCUGAGAUUAUUUCCUUGGGUUCCACAUGGCUCAUUUGUAGCAUGAACGAUUCCCGCUGCAGGCCUCAGAAAGACUCCAUAGAGACGCCCAGGGGAGCCUGGGUCAACAAGAAGAGGCCUGGGGUAGGGAAGCGGAUGGCCCAAGAUGGACAGCUCUCCCUAUUGGGAGCCACAACAGCAACCACGGACACCAGAAUCGGAUGCUGGUAUGUGCUCACAGCCAGCCAGGACCAGUAAUCCAAUGGCCAACAUUCAAACACCAAGGAAGACAAGAAAGCAAAGGGAAUGAGUCUGUCCUUUGGCCACAAUCAUCUUGUUUCCAGCUACCAUGGGAGACCAGGAGAGGAGGUUCCUGGCACACUCUGCACUCUCAGGAGCCCCUCACACAGGACGUCAGACGUUGCAGCUUGGGCCCCUCUUGACUGGAUGGCAAGAACAGAGCUGCUGACAUCCACAGCCCAAGAUCCUUCUGAGAUCCCAGGGAGAGAUAGGAGCCCACGUGCCCAGCGACGUUCCUGAAGCGAGCGCGGUGGUCUGAGAGGGAACAAGGCAGAUAAAGCGAUCUCUGAGGACUCCCCUGGAAACAGGAGUGGUGCUCCUUCGUGAAGCCGUCUGUGGCGUCAGCGAGUCAUGGAGAAAGAAAAACCUGAAGUGAAACCCAGCACACCCGCACCCAGCAACGAGGAGAACACACCUAGACCCUCAAAACGCCCCAGGCCUUCCCAAAAUAUUGUGUGCUUUUUACUGAAUAGGCAGCUGGGGAGGCACAGAAGUGACGUGGACCUGUCCAUGUGGGUGUGGAUGCUGGACUGAGCCACGCCCCGGUGCAGGUGGCCCCUUCCAAACAACCAUGGGUCUUGCCUGCUCACCCCCACCCCCACCCCCACCCCCACCCCCACCUCUUGAAAAUGCGAAAGAAAAAUUGAUUUAAAAUAACAAACACCUCUCUCGUGUCAGCUCUUGAAAUAAAAGCUACGUUUUCCUCCUUUUGGUUCGAUGUGUUCUUAUUGCCCGAACAGCAUUCUUAGGUCAGUUACACCGGACAGGGGAUCGUACUCAUGGUCACACGGAGCGCAGGAGCUCUCCUACACCGGGGGAUGGCGAGGUCACACUGCAGGGCAGGUCUCUUCCACCUUUAACCCGGGACAAAAGGGAACCGAGAUGUGGAAGCAGGUCCCUCCAAGAAGGGAGACUCCUCUCCCUAGGCGGUUUUGAGACAUCCUCUGGGUUCCCCUGGAAAACCCAGGUACUAGCCUAGGGACACGCAUUGUUUCAGAACAGGCCACCAGCAGGGCGGGAAGUUGAGGACACUCCUUUGGGGUUUCUUAUUCUGAUGCUCAGGAGAUUAUCAUUUAGACACGACAGCAUUGCGUCUUUGUUGGUUCUAUUUCAUAUUUUAAAAGUCAGAGCACAGGGCAUUUUAAUAUGGGAAUGUCACACCCUCUGGGCCCCCUGAAGGUAAUGGCUCUUCUCACUGUCCCCAAAGUCUGGACCGGCCAGACCCUUAUCCGGCCGGGUGGGGAAAACCUGGCAGUCGGUGCUGGUGGCGGCUGGAAGCCGAGAAUGUACUGGACUGAAGGCCCCAGCCCAUCUUGGCAGUACGGGGCCCUGGAUCCCCUGUGAGAGCGUACAGGGCUCCACAGUCCCUCAGGGAAAGCGCCCUGGGUACAUGGCCCGCUCAGGGGACCAGCCAGGGACCAGCGAGAGAAGGUGCAGGGGCAGCGCAGGUGCGGGAGCAGUGAGGCACGGGCAAGACUGUCCUGGG